GAUGAACGCUGGCGGCGUGCCUAACACAUGCAAGUCGAGCGAUGAAGUUUCCUUCGGGAAACGGAUUAGCGGCGGACGGGUGAGUAACACGUGGGUAACCUGCCUCAUAAUGGGGGAUAGCCUUUCGAAAGGAAGAUUAAUACCGCAUAACAUCAUUAAAUGGCAUCAUUUAAUGAUCAAAGGAUUUAUUCGUUAUGAGAUGGACCCGCGUCGCAUUAGCUAGUUGGUAAGGUAAUGGCUUACCAAGGCGAAGAUGCGUAGCCGACCUGAGAGGGUGAUCGGCCACAUUGGGACUGAGACACGGCCCAGACUCCUACGGGAGGCAGCAGUGGGGAAUAUUGCACAAUGGGGGAAACCCUGAUGCAGCAACGCCGCGUGAGUGAUGACGGUCUUCGGAUUGUAAAGCUCUGUCUUUGGGGACGACAAUGACGGUACCCAAGGAGGAAGCCACGGCUAACUACGUGCCAGCCGCCGCCGUAA
rnacentral:rRNA from 1 species